rnacentral:lncRNA from 1 species
CAAGCUCCAAAUCCAGCCCUGGGUGACCAGAAAGAUAUCUUUCAACGCAGCGGAAGAUUUCUAUCCUUUACAUGAAUAUUGCACACGGCACAAAUGAAAACAAAUACCUUUAACUAUCUGAAUUCCCAUCGUGUUGAAAGAAAGUGCCGGGCGCAAAUCUGAAGAUUUUGAUUGUUGGAAUGGAUAAUGCGAGGACAGAGUAAGAACACCUAGAUUUCUUAACUCAUAAUCGUUAACCGUCGUCUUACCUCGUCUUACUUCGUCUACCACCCCUUCUUGCUUCCCACCUAAUUUUGGAUGUUACAAGUAGCAUUGUUAAAGGCGUUUCUAAAUAUUUUUAUCUUUUACGGUAGCUACGGUCGAGUGAAUUAUCAGGCGCGCUCUCAUCUCUCAACCAGUUGUGCGUUCUCAAAGCUCUUCAUCACACGCGGAAGUUCGUGCUCACGUGCGGUUUUUCAUCCCUCUCAUUUUCUGGAAAACGACGUAUCGCACUCUCGCCCCUUUCCCACACGCUCUCUCCCGUUUCUCAUCGCGUGGUAUGCGAAUUUGCUCUGCUGUGGAAAAUUGAUCAUUGUAGAAAGCUGACUCCUACUCCAAGUUUAAAGCAUUUAUUUGAUCGUAAAUUGCGUGUAGCCGUCAUGGUCUUUGUGGCAUUUUCGAAAUCGAUGUCCCUGUAUUGUGCAGUUUCCGGACGUUGUGAUACAAAUAGUUGACUCUUGAAAACUCUUUCCGGUUUCCUUUCACGGUGAUCUUGAAAUUGCCAUAUUUCGUGUCGGAAACAGUGUAGUCGAUUUCUGAAAGAGUCAUGUUCCCCAAGAAAGAAUCGGAAAAAGGAUAUUUGGUUUUGCGAAGCGUCGACGAAAAAACCGGCCUUAAAAAGUAAGUUUUUAGUGUUUUUCUCCUGUAGUUACCCUUUUUUCUUCUUUUUUUACGUCUGUAUAUUUUUUUAUUUUCAUUUCCUUUCUUUUACGAUUUCUUACCGCUCAAACCUAGUCCAAAGAAAUUUCUAUUUUUUCUUUUUUCGCUGCUCCGGGGCAAACCGAAGAUGACGUGAAGAAGGGACGUCGCAUAGUUGAAUAUGACGUCAGUCUUAUACAGGAGUGAAACACCCCCUCUAUAGAAUAUUCUGAGCGCGGAUUCCCGAGUAAUAUGUGGGAGGGGGAGGCUUCAUUAUUGACUUAACCUUGGCGUAAUUUUUAAGGGGGCGAGUUUCAACGCUGCUUAUAUUGAUAUGUACCUGAAAUGGGAGCAGCUGGUUAAAAAUCCGAAAAAAACGUGACGUCAUUUCCUUGAUUUUAGGAAAGUUGUUUUCAACGCAAAUUAGUAUAAUUCAUUUAUUUUCGUGAAUUGUUCUUUAUAUAGAGCUCUCAACAACUCAAAAUUCCUGAUCGACCGGCUUAAUGUAUCCUCUCUGUACCUUUGAAAAUCAUCGAUGCAGGUAUGGAAUGAGUAACUGAAACUAAUGC